GAUGAACGCUGGCGGCGUGCCUAAUACAUGCAAGUCGAGCGAACAGACGAGGAGCUUGCUCCUCUGACGUUAGCGGCGGACGGGUGAGUAACACGUGGAUAACCUACCUAUAAGACUGGGAUAACUUCGGGAAACCGGAGCUAAUACCGGAUAAUAUAUUGAACCGCAUGGUUCAAUAGUGAAAGACGGUUUUUCUGUCACUUAUAGAUGGAUCCGCGCCGCAUUAGCUAGUUGGUAAGGUAACGGCUUACCAAGGCAACGAUGCGUAGCCGACCUGAGAGGGUGAUCGGCCACACUGGAACUGAGACACGGUCCAGACUCCUACGGGAGGCAGCAGUAGGGAAUCUUCCGCAAUGGGCGAAAGCCUGACGGAGCAACGCCGCGUGAGUGAUGAAGGUCUUCGGAUCGUAAAACUCUGUUAUUAGGGAAGAACAAAUGUGUAAGUAACUAUGCACGUCUUGACGGUACCUAAUCAGAAAGCCACGGCUAACUUCGUGCCAGCAGCCGCGGUAACAC
rnacentral:rRNA from 1 species